rnacentral:rRNA from 1 species
AUUGAACGCUGGCGGCAGGCCUAACACAUGCAAGUCGAGCGGAGCGGGGGACGGGUAAGUAAUGACUAGGAAUCUGCCUGGUAGUGGGGGAUAAAGUCCGGAAACGGGCGCUAAUACCGCAUACUUUCAAAUGCGCCUCGGUUGGAUCAGCUAGUUGGUGGGGUAACGGCCUACAAAGUCGACGAUCCUUAACUGGUCUGAGAGGAGGAUCAGUCACACUGGAACGGAGACACGUUCCAGACUCCUACGGGAGGCAGCAGUGGGGAAUAUUGGACAAUGGGCGAAAGCCUGAUCCAUCAAUGCCGCGUGUGUGAAGAAGGUCUUCGGAUUGUAAAGCACUGUAAGUUGGGAGGCGUUACCAACAGAAUAAGCACCGGCUAACUUCGUGCCAGCAGCCGCGGUAAUAC